UACGGAGGAUCCAAGCGUUAUCCGGAUUCAUUGGGUUUAAAGGGUGCGUAGGCGGAAUGAUAAGUCAGUGGUGAAUCUCGGAGCUUAACUCCGAAACUGCCAUUGAUACUGUCAAUCUUGAGUACAUUUGAUGUGGGCGGAAUGUGUCAUGUAGCGGUGAAAUGCUUAGAUAUGACACAGAACACCGAUUGCGAAGGCAGCUCACAAAACUGUAACUGACGCUGAGGCACGAAAGCGUGGGUAUCAAACAGG
rnacentral:rRNA from 1 species